UCUUAUUUCUCUCUCCAGGGUCUCUCUCCUCUCUAGGUGACAUGGAGACCUAGCAACUGCCAUGGCCGUUUUCAAUUUUUGUUGCUCCAAUUUCUCUCCCCCAGCGCUCUCAUUUAUCAGUGCUCCCUCAAUGCUCCAAAAAGUUAUGGUAAAUGUUGAAGUUUUUGGAUUUUUGACCGGUUAAAGCUUGUUCUUUUUCUUUUCAAGAGUUUUUAAAAAUAUUCAUCAUUGUUCGAUUUUCUGCAGAAUACUCAUUAAAACGCUUUUUCAAAGGGUCAAGUUUCGAUUUGCAAAUCACUCAAGGAACGUAUAUUUGCACGUUCAUCAGCAACCAUUGAAGUCGAAAGGAGACCAAAAAUAUGCGAUAACCCUAAUUGUAAUGUAUUUAUAUGUAUUCGAGUCCGCAUUUAUUGAUUUUUAGUUUGUACAAUGAUUUUCUCUUCUUGUAUUUAGAUGUAUUUAUAUGUAUUCGAUAAGUCAU
rnacentral:lncRNA from 1 species